rnacentral:RNase_P_RNA from 1 species
AAAGUAAAUAUCUUUAUCGCAUUUGUUUAAUUUAAUAAUACAAAUGAGGAAAGUCCGGACACUAAAGAGAAAUACAACGGAUAACAUCCGUCCAUCGUAAGGUGAGGAAAAGUGCAACAGAAAGUAUGUAUAAUAUAAUAAUUAUUAUAUUUUAUAGUGAAAUCUUGUAAACUCUGUAUAGUGAAAUGUCGUCUUGUACCAUUAUUAAUUACCUCGAUUUAAAAUGGUUGGUUGACAGAUAAAGAUAUAUAUGGUAACAUAUAUACUAGAUAAAUGAUAAAGGAUAUAAUAAAUUUAAAUUAUAUUACAGAAUCCGGCUUAUAUAUUUACUUUAAUU